rnacentral:piRNA from 1 species
UUAGAACAACACAGUGUUUGCUGAACAUU